CAUUGUUUGUGUUUGUGUUUUGACUUUUUCGUACACGUGUUCUCUUUCGUGAUUUCUUUGAGUAAUUCAGAAUAUUAUUACGACUACAAUGAACAUUAUUGGUCGCAUACCUAGCUACCAAUCCACAUGUUUUUACGGAGUCAUCUUUCCAGUACCAGUGGCGGAUAAAUGUGUUGGCUGGAUGCUGGAAUAGUCGGAGAUGUUGUCGUUGAACCAUAUUUUUUGCCUAACAGCCUAAAUUUCCUAGAAAAUUACUUAAAUGAGGAACAGUAAUGCCAGUGAGAAGUUACGUGGAUAUCGUGAUGGAAAACAACCUAAUAUUCCAACAUGGUGGCGCUCCAGCUCACUUCGCUCGUGAUGAGCGCAGCCACCUCAAUGCCCGGUUCCCGGAAUGGAUUGGACGAGGAGGACGUAUCGCAUUGCCUCCGCGGUCUCCAGAACUCACACCACUUGACUUUUUUUCUGGGGAUACAUUAAAAAUAAAGUGUAUGCGUCGGAUUCCCCUUCGAGCGAAGAAAUGGUUGCCCGCAUCAAACCGCAUGCGAUACUGUAACGCCAGGAAUGCUUCGCAAUGUCUGGGUUUCCAUUUACCGGAGAGCUGACUUGUGCAUCCAAGGAGGUCGACGUUUUGAACCCUUUCUUUGAAAGAAUCUUCGUCAAACGUUCGCCGCCUUGCCGCGAUCUCUUUGACGGCGCCGACAAAGCGGCUACCUACGACUUAGGUCGCCGACGGUACCAGGAGAAAAUGACGAGUGAGGAGUUAGUGUUUUAGUGUACAUCGAUAGUGUCUUAGUGUGUGUGUUGUUUUGAAUUGGGGAUGUUGACCCAAUAGUGAUUUGCCACGUUUGUUUACAUUUAAAUAAAUACAUUUUAUUGCGAAA
rnacentral:lncRNA from 1 species